rnacentral:rRNA from 1 species
CCUACGGGUGGCAGCAGUGAGGAAUAUUGGUCAAUGGACGAGAGUCUGAACCAGCCAAGUAGCGUGAAGGAUGACUGCCCUAUGGGUUGUAAACUUCUUUUAUAUGGGAAUAAAACGUUCCACGUGUGGGAUUUUGUAUGUACCAUAUGAAUAAGGAUCGGCUAACUCCGUGCCAGCAGCCGCGGUAAUACGGAGGAUCCGAGCGUUAUCCGGAUUUAUUGGGUUUAAAGGGAGCGUAGGUGGAUUGUUAAGUCAGUUGUGAAAGUUUGCGGCUCAACCGUAAAAUUGCAGUUGAAACUGGCAGUCUUGAGUACCGUAGAGGUGGGCGGAAUACGUGGUGUAGCGGUGAAAUGCUUAGAUAUCACGAAGAACUCCGAUUGCGAAGGCAGUUCACUGGACUGCAACUGACACUGAGGCUCGAAAGUGUGGGUAUCAAACAGGAUUAGAUACCCGUGUAGUC